CCCGAGACUCAGUGAAAUUGAACUCGCUGUGAAGAUGCAGUGUACCCGCGGCAAGACGGAAAGACCCCGUGAACCUUUACUAUAGCUUGACACUGAACAUUGAGCCUUGAUGUGUAGGAUAGGUGGGAGGCUUUGAAGUGUGGACGCCAGUCUGCAUGGAGCCGACCUUGAAAUACCACCCUUUAAUGUUUGAUGUUCUAACGUUGACCCGUAAUCCGGGUUGCGGACAGUGUCUGGUGGGUAGUUUGACUGGGGCGGUCUCCUCCUAAAGAGUAACGGAGGAGCACGAAGGUUGGCUAAUCCUGGUCGGACAUCAGGAGGUUAGUGCAAUGGCAUAAGCCAGCUUGACUGCGAGCGUGACGGCGCGAGCAGGUGCGAAAGCAGGUCAUAGUGAUCCGGUGGUUCUGAAUGGAAGGGCCAUCGCUCAACGGAUAAAAGGUACUCCGGGGAUAACAGGCUGAUACCGCCCAAGAGUUCAUAUCGACGGCGGUGUUUGGCACCUCGAUGUCGGCUCAUCACAUCCUGGGGCUGAAGUAGGUCCCAAGGGUAUGGCUGUUCGCCAUUUAAAGUGGUACGCGAGCUGGGUUUAGAACGUCGUGAGACAGUUCGGUCCCUAUCUGCCGUGGGCGCUGGAGAACUGAGGGGGGCUGCUCCUAGUACGAGAGGACCGGAGUGGACGCAUCACUGGUGUUCGGGUUGUCAUGCCAAUGGCACUGCCCGGUAGCUAAAUGCGGAAGAGAUAAGUGCUGAAAGCAUCUAAGCACGAAACUUGCC
rnacentral:rRNA from 1 species